GACGAACGCUGGCGGCGUGCUUAACACAUGCAAGUCGAGGGAGGGAGGGCUUUCGGGCUCUACCCGACCGGCGGACGGGUGAGUAACACGUAAGCGAUCUAUCCCUGUGCGGGGGACAACCCGGGGAAACUCGGGCUAAUACCGCAUGGUCAGCGCUCUCGCAUGGGAGUGCUGGGAAAGGUGGCCUCUUUACAAUGCUACCGUGCAGGGAGGAGCUUGCGGGCUAUCAGCAGUUGGUGAGGUAAUGGC
rnacentral:rRNA from 1 species